rnacentral:lncRNA from 1 species
CCCUAGUUUAGUAGAGCACAAAAUGCCUAUCAAGGAAGGGUACAAACCUAUGAAGCAAGCUCUAAGGAGAAUGUCGAAGGAGAUAGAAGAAAAGGUCAAAGAAGAGAUCGAGAUACUGGUAAAAGCUGAAUUUAUUAGGCCUGCUAAGUCUGUCGAGUGGUUGGCCAACAUUGUACCUGUAUUAAAAGCUAUAACUAAUGUCAUCCGAUGUUGUGUCGACUAAGCCACACCUAAAGAUGAAUACCCCAUACCUAUGGCUGACCUGUCCAUAGAUGUAGUUGCAAAACACAAAGUUCUAUCUUUUAUGGAUGGGAAUACUGGUUAUAAUAAAAUAAAAAUGGCUAAUGAAGAUAUUCAUAAGAUAACUUUUAGGUGCUUGGGAUAUGUACGAGCAUAUGAAUAUGUUGUCAUGCCGUUCAGGCUCAAAAAUGCUGGUGCCACCUAUUAAAGGGCAAUAAACGCCAUUUUUCAUGAUUUAAUUAGUCAUAACAUGGAGGUAUACAUUGAUAAUUUACUAGUAAAGUCAAAAACUAAAAAGCAACACUUAGAAGACCUCAGACAAGCCUUCGUGAGAAUGAGGACCCAUAAGUUAAAAAUGAAUCCCAACAAAUGUGUUUUUGGAGUCAGAUCGGGUACCUUUUUGGGAUUCCUUGUUCAUUAAAGAGGAGUGAAGGUAAACAAAAACAAACCUCGGGCCAUAAUGGAAUCGUCUUCCCCCACCAAUAAAGUACAAUUGCAAAGGCCACUGGGGAAGAUCAACUUCUUAAGGAGAUUCAUUGCUAACUUGGCGGGCAAGACCCAACCAUUGACUCCUUUACUAAGACUGAAAAAUCAAGAAGAGUUUAAGUAAGGGCCAAAAUACCAAGAGGCUUUUGACAAAAUGAAAGCUUACCUAGCCUCUCCACCAAUGCUUAUGCCUCAUUAGAGGAGGAAACCUUAAUAGUUCUAUAUCUCUGCCUUGGAAAAGUCAAUAUGAAGCUUAUUGGCUCAAAACAAUGAAGGAGGGAAGGAAUCAGCAAUAUACUACCUCAGUAAGAUCCUUACUAAGGUAGAAACAAGAUAUACCCCAAUUAAGACAUUAUGUUUGGCUUUAUAAUUCAUUGUCUGCAAGCUAAAGCAUUACAUGUUGCCUUGCCAGCCAAGACUGGUGUGAUCAAGUAUAUGCUGGGAAAUUGAUUCCAGCACUAUUAGAGUUCAACUUCCACUAUGUACCCCAAAGAGCAAUAAAGAGGCAAGCAAUUGUAGACUUCUUGACUGAGCACUAAAAGUCACAGGAUGAACUUGUCAACAUCCUAAGAACUCUGGAAAUAGCUAGUGUAAGGAUCCCUCAAAAUAAAGAUCAUUCGAGCAAGGAAGAAUGGAUUUAGCAAAAAGUAAAGAGAAUAGCAAGCCUAUGGAUCACUCUUUGGAAGUUGUAUUUUGAUGGGUCAUGUAUUUAGCAUGCUGUUGGAGCCGGGAUUGUCAUCGUUGAUCCCAAGGGAUUUCAGCAUUACUACUCAUUCAUUCUUGAUUAUCAAGAUACUAUCAACAAUCGGGCAGUGUACGAGGCAUUGAUUAUUAGCUUGGAAAUCCUGAUAGAGCUAGGGGCAACUGAAGUUGAGUUGUUUGGUGAUUCAGAAUUGGUGAUUAAUCAGCUUAAUAGAGACAACAAGUGUAGACGCAUCACAAUAGCUGGUUAUUAUUUGGCAACCACUCAAUUAUUGAGUUAUUGGGGCACUAAAGUGUCAGUCAAUCAUAUUCUUAAAGACCUAAAUUUAAUUGCUAAUGAGAUGGCACAGUUGGAUUCUGGAGCACAGAUCUAAGAAAUAAGGUUCGAGGUGGAUGUGGAACUACAAAGAAAAAAUCUCCCUUCUAUCUUUGAAAUAGGGUUCAGCUUAGAUAUAAUGACUAAAGAAGCUGAGAUAGAAGAUUAGAGAACACCCAUCAUCCAGUACUUGAAAGACCUUUCUUCUCCCACAAGUAAGAAAAUUAGGCAACAAGCAACUAAGUUUGUCAUGUGGGAUAGAACUCUGCUAAGAAAAACUCCAGAUGGAUUCCUAUUAAAAUGUUUAGGCUUGGAAGAGUCAAUGAGAGUGAUGGCUGAAGUGCAUGAAAGCAUUUGUGGAGCACAUCAAGCUGGAACCAAGAUAAGGUGGUUGUUGGGAAAAUAAGGCUAUUUUUGGCCCGAUAUGGAGAAGGAUUGUAAGGUUUAUGCCCGAAGGUGUGAAGAAUGCCAAAGGCAUGAACCUCUCUAAUACAUAUCCUUAGUAUUCUCGAAUCCAGUGGGUAAUGGACUUCAUCGGGCAAAUUUACCCAGCUUCUAGUAAGGGGCAUACUUUCAUAAUUGUGGCAACAGACUACUUCACCAAAUGGGUAUAAGCUUCAACUGUUAGACUAUCACUUCAGCUGUUGUGAAGAAAUUUAUUGAAACCAAGAUCUUACACAGAUAUGGGGUGCCCGAGACAAUUGUUAUAGACUGAAGGCCAUCUUUUAUCUCGAAAGAAGUAGAAAAAUUUGCAAACAAGUUUAAGAUAAAGAUGAUCCAAUCUAGCCCUUAUUACCCCCAAUCAAUGGUCAAACAGAAGCUAACAAUAAAAUCUUGGUAAAUAUUAUUAAGAGAAUGGUAGCAGAUAGCCUGGAGAAGUGGCAUGAGAAGUUAAGAGAUGCUCUGUGGGCUUACAGAACCUCAAAGUGGGUAGGAACUGGAACCACCCUUUAUGCUUUAACCUUUGGGCAAGAUGUUAUACUCCCUAUGGAAAUCAAUGUAAGUUCUGUCAGGCUUCAAAACCAGUUUGGCCUACAUAAUGAAGAAUACAUUCAAGCUAUGUGUUAAUAGAUUGAAGAUUUAGAUGCAACCCAAAUUCUAGCCUUGAAUAAAAUCCAAGAAGGGAAGAAGGUUGUUGCCCAAGCAUACAACAAGAUAGUGAAGUUAAAGGCCUUCAAUGAGGGAGAGUUAGUAUGGAAGACAGUGUUACCCUUGGGAGCUCAAGUUAGAGGUUUUGGGAAGUGGAGUCCCACUUGGGCAGAUCCUUUCAUUAUCAACCAAGUGUUUGAUAGAUGAGGAUAUUACUUGGCAGAUUUAGAAGGAAACUUGCAAAGGCAUUAAUGCUAAGUUUUUGAAAAUAUAUCACCCAACUUUGUGGGAUGUUAGAGAUUAUUGUAUUGAGGAAGUCUAAGCAUUUUAAGGGUUGAAGUUAGUUUAUGCAUCUACCACAGUUAAGGUUUAAAGUAAAAAUAAGACAAGUUGGAAGUGAAGAAGGAAGUUUCAUUUUUUUGCAUCGAAUAAAUAAGUUAAAAAGUCAUUGCCAAACAAUUUUACAUCUUUAACCAAUGCAGCUAUCCUAGAGUGAUAGGUCUGCAUGACCGUGAAAAUUUGGCCUGGCUCUUCUAAGGCAAUGUUACUGUUGGCUAAUUGAGCUUCGGCAUCCUUUACUUCCAGAUUAACUUUCUUCACUUCUUCAAUUUUUUGGUAAAGUUAGCUUAAAAGGGUCAUCUGCUCGACCUUCAGUGCAAAUAACUGCUCUUCCAACUUUUGAAUCUCGGAGGCCACCACCAAGAUCCUGUCCUUCAUGGACAAGCCUCUCAUCCACCAGCUGCUGCUGAGAAAUAUAAGUCUUGAGAUGCUUCUCUUUAAAGCACUUGAUUAUAUUCAAUUGUCUCUCUACCUGUUGAUGUUGGUCCCUCAGUGCCCUCCAGUUCUAGAAGAAUGAGAGGAAUGACUCGUAUUGGAGGGGGCAUCACUCCAGUACCCCUAGAAGCUGCUUCAGUUUGAAGUGAGGGAUGAGGCCUAGAAGUGGAGGUGGCAACGACAACAGUCGUCUUCUGCCAAAGCUUAGGGAUCCCUAUAACUCCAGAGGGAGAAGAAGAGAUAUGACUUUUAUACCUAAGCUGAACCUUGAAUAGUGGAAGGGGGCACCUUUGUGGUCGUAGUUGUCUUGGGAGAAGAAGGUGGACUGGCCCGAGAAGCAGCCUGAGGAGCCCGCGAGCUAGUCACUUCUAAAACCAUGGGGAUCUCAAUGACUAUUAGGUCCCCAAAAGUUAUUGGUGGUUGCUUAGUGGCCUCGUGCACUGGAAAUGACUGAUAAAAGAAGAAUAUAGAGUAACCUAAGGAAAAUUCAAAAGAAAGCCUAGAAGAACUUAAGAAGAAGAGUGCUUACUGAAGUACUAUCAUCUUCAAUGUAGUGCAGCAUCUCCUCAGUCUUUGGGGUGGGAAGUGGGAGUUGCCACUAUGGGAGGAGGAAGAGUUGAAGAGGUAGGAGCAAAAUUUUACCCUACCUGAAAAGUAGAUGCCCCAACUUUAGCCUGAGGAAAAGAAUAAAGAUGGUGGUUAAUCUUGAAACUUGAAAAAUCAUAAACCAGGAUUAGGAAAUAUGAUACCUUUGAGGGCUUGGCCCGACGAUGGGAAAGAUGCACUGCUCGAGCAAGAGGAGAAGAAACCUCAGGCUGGGAUAUCUCUUUGCCUCUAGUAUCCUAUUUCAAGUAAACAAAGAGUUAGCACGAGUGUUAAAGAAAAUGAAUUUCAAAAGUAACCCAGUACUUAAGAAAAUGAAGGCUAUACCUUCAACUCCUCAAGGAUUUUAUCGAGGACUGCCUUAUCCUCUGGCUAGACUUCUUUGCCCAACUGCUUAUCUGAAGGAAUAGGGGCAGGUUUCUUAGUUGCUGAAGGCCUUGAUUACAAGAAAAGAAGGGGGUGUUAGUUCAUGCCCCACGAUAAACUGAAAACUAAAAUUGAGAAGAAAAAAAAUGACUAAGGCUAAGAUCACUAACUGAAGGAUUUUUGCUUUUUCCUACCUGCUUCAGCUGGAUGGGCAGAGGAAGGCUUUAAGGAUUUGGAGGCUUGAGAAGUCUGAGACCCGGUCCUCUUCCUGGUAAGAGUUACCCUAAGGCCAGGCAAAGUAAGACAAGGCUGAAGCCGCUAUUCAGGCUUGAACUCUGGUGACUUUACCAUGGUUACCUUUGCCUGCCAAGGUACACGAGUCUCCACUUCAGGCUUAGCCUUAGCCUUUGAGCCUGUAUAGAGGUCGGAGAUGUCUCUAGUGUCUCUAGCAGCUUGGCUGGACCCCGCCUCUUACCUUGCUACCUUAGUGGUGGCCUCUUGAAGGAUAAAUGCGUCUGCAACUUCUUUUUCUUGCCCGACAUCCACUUCUUCAGCAUUGCCUUGGGCUAUGAGAUCAGAGUGAAAGUUAAUAAACAACAGACUAUGAAAACAUCACAAAAGAGAAGACAAAAUUAAUAAGGUAUACCUAUAAGAAGAAGCCGGUUCUUCUGGUUGAUCACAUUCUUCUAGUUCUCAAGUUCCUCCUUCUUUGGGUAAGAUUUGAAGAAGAGCUAUCCGAAUAGCCAAUCGUGGACUUUCAUAAGAUCUCUUUCGUACUUCUUUUGCCACUUGGCCUCUCACCAAGUGGCAAAAGAAGGAGUGCAUUCAAAAUUUAGAGCCACGUGCUUAUGGGCAAUGCGGCUCAUCAUUUCUAUGUUGUGCCGAGCUGUCUGGAAUGUCACAUCGACGGGAGAGCGAAUGCGGAAAUAGGUUCCACAGUGCAUGUAGUUAAAGUAGAGCAUUGGGAUCAAGUGCCUAAAUCCUAGCUGUCUACCACAAAAAUUAUGAUGGUAGACCUUUAGCUCGCGCUCGUAGCCCAUGCGGUCGCUUCGCACUACCCAAGCCAGGUCUCGUUGUUGGAUGUAACUUACAAAUUUCUCCUUGUAGGUCUCACUUUUUUGGAAAAUCUGGUUCGAGAACCAUGGGUACCUCUUAAGCAUAGAGGCACCCCACUCCAAGUCUGCCCAAGUUCAACAGAUUCUGAAAAAAAAAUAUAGUCAAACUAGAGUUCAAUGGUUUGUAGGAGAAGCCUCGGCCAAGAUACGAGAUAGAGCCACUCCUUCAGGGAACUCCAAGUUGGGCGCCCGAAACUCAGGGAAGUACCACUAGAGCCAUAACUGGACCAUCUAGGUUAGCUCGAUGAGAUUGGUCUCGAAGGGCUCGCCUCUGGUCACCUUGUAAAGGAGGUGAUAGAGGUGGGCAAGGAGGAAAGGCCCCAUGGCCACUUCAUCGAGGGAAUGAAGGGCCUCCACCAAGGGGAUCCACUUCAGCUUCACUCAUUUGGAUUUGUUUAGGAACACAUGCUUGUUCAACCAAUAUAGGAAGAAGUACAUGUGUUCUUGGGACUUAUCUGUAGUGGAUGAGGGCGGGCUGAAUGUUUUCUUUGAGAAUGGGAUAAAGUCCGCGAAGGACAUGCCAUAGCUUUUGAAGGUGGAAGAAGUUUACUCUAGGCAAGAAAUGGACUCAAAAGAGCCUGAGCUUUCAGAAGUUAGGCUAAAAAGUGAAGACUAAUCAUGGGUAAUGUCCAUGCACCUACCUGAGGGCCUUAGCCCGAAAACCUAAGCCAUGUUAAAGAUCAUGGGAGACAUGGGACCCAUUUUAAAAUCGAAUGUGUUGGCCCCAUUGUUCCAGAAGAGAAGAGCUGUGGUCAGCAGCUCAGGCUUAGCAAUCACCGUGACCUUGGAAAGCAUGAUAAGCUCAUAGAUUCCAUUGGUCAUUCACUUCCAGAUAGGCUCGAGCUUGUCCACCCAAUGUGACCAGGCCUCAUCUCUCCUUAGUGGGAAACCCCUUUGAAAGUUGGACCACUUGAAGGUCGAUAUACCAGCUUCAACGAAGUAAGGAUUGGGAGUAAACUAGUUGGCCAAGGCAUGUUAUUCUCCACCUCAAUUAGGACUCAGGCAGUCCAAGCUAGCCCCAAAGAAUGCACUCAUCCUUCCUCAAAAAAAAAAAAAUUGAGGAAUUCAGGCUAGCCUGAGGGCGAUGAAGGCUGGUGAGUUGACGGCACAUGGUGGCGAUGUCCUCACUGGACUCAUAUGCAGGACGAGUUUUAGGUGCCAUUGAUUAAUUGAGUUUUGGGAAGAAAGUGGAGAGGGCUAAAGGCAGAAAGCAAAAAGGAAUUGUGAGGGCAAGGGAAUUCUGGAAAAUCUAGGAACUUUGGAAGCUCAGAAAAUAGGAUUGCUAAAGGUAUUUGGCCAAGAAAUUUAAAUAGAGAUUAUAUAAUAGGUAGUUAGUUAACAUUGGACAUCGUGGGUUAUUGCAAAGGUUUAUUCGAAAAUGGUUGUUUAAAUGGUGCAAGUCCCAAGUUAAAUCAUGCGGCUGGUAUUUAAUCAUUAUUAAGGUCUCGGUUUACAGACUUAACAAAUGAUUAAAGGGUGCACUUUUUGGGUUAAUAUUUAACAUUAGGCUUUGCAUUAGGAAAAAAUCCAAAGGCGCCAAAAUAAGUCAAACUUGUCCAAAGCCCAACAAUGAAGCCUAAAGCAAACUGAAGCUUUUUUAAGCCACUGUGCCUAUGAUGGAAGUGACAAAUGACAUAGACCAACUCAUUAUCAGCCAAAAAACACUUUCUAAAGACAUUACAAGUAAAUAGGCCAUCGGCUAAGAGUAAAGCUAAAGCAGUUGGGCCAAAUUGUCUAUAAAAGGAGAAAGAGACAACAGAGAUAAGGACACUCAACCAACCAAUAAAAAAAACAUACAAACUCUGCUCUCAAGCCAAUUCGUACCCAGAAAGCUUAAACUUGUCCAGAUUCAGUCCUUUUAAAGCUAUAAUUCCCUUAGAAAAACUAUCUUUUAUCUAGUGUAAUAGCUCUGCUACCUUCCCUUGGUGUUGUAGUAUCGAUUCCCUCAUGUAAAACCUAUUUACCAUCCAUCCUUUUUAGCAUACAACCUCUAUAAACUCAAAGAAAAAUGGUUGUAAGAAGUUCGACCUUGCCCAACAAGGUGAAAUCUUGUCUGAGUCUCUUUGUUUGCACUUUAAUUUAGUAGAUAUGUCACUUAAUGGACUUUUUAGCAUGUAUUCAAGCUAUUUCCAACUGUUUUCCAUCUAAGAGUCCCAUUUGCAUUUGAAUCUAUUUAACUUAAUAAACCUAUUUUCAUUAAAAACAAACUGCAUUCGAGGAAAUGGUUAAAAGGGCCCUUAACUCCCUUUGUUGUAAACGUAAAAGAUUAUGAACUAAAAGUUCUUGCUCACAAGGCAAGACAAAGAACUUAAUGUAGACUUAACUCAUCUGUGACAAUCAUUUAAUAACAAGAAGUUUAAGUAACUUGGGGUGUAAGUAAUCAACUUAAAUCACAUAUAUUCAACGUCUGUUAUACUAAGAUAACAGUGGCACGCCAAGAUCCUUGUUAGUUUUGAUUGCGAGCCUUAAUGCCUACACCUAAGGCCCUACAAAGGCACAUUUCAAACUAUCUUUAAACUCUUCUUGCAGCACACCAAGCAGCAAGAGCUCACCCAACAAGACACCAAGUGACAAACCACUAGGGAGCUAUGCAAAGGGAAAUCAUAGCCGAAACCGGAUGAUUGUGCAUAACCUAGUUCCGAAUGGUAUAUGCUAAUUUCCCAUUUCCAUGUCAGGAAAAGCUGAAAUUGGUUGAAUGUCAAAACUAUUGUAAUGCAAUAUUAAAAAUUUGAAAUUGACUUCAAACCUUAAUUAAUAGUACAAAAUGUACUUAUCCCAUUCAUCUGAGUGCAAAAUAUACCUAGGGGUUGUAUCGAGUUUAAUGAAUUUUAUUUGACUCUCAAAUCUAAGUGUAGUCAAUAUACAUUGUAAACACAAAAAUCGUGUGACAAAUGAGACAAGAACACGUGUACAAAGAAUAUUAUUUGUAUUAAUGAAUUUGUAGGGUUACAAUCUCUUUACAACUUGAUCCUUUUAUUUGAUCUCCGAAAUGUGUAGAUGUGUAAUGUUGUUGAUCCAAUGGUCACGAUGACUUGAUCUUGGAUGAACGAAUGCCGCAAGGUUUUGGUUCUUGGCAAUGGAGGAACCGGCACGUGUAGGGGUGCUUGGCGGUUCUUCACAGGACUUGACAAAUAACACGAAGGAUUUUUCGAGUCCUCUUGAGUGUGUUAGUGUUUGGGGGGUUUGAGUGCUUGAGAGCUUCAGAAUUUCAAAGAUUCAGCGUCUAGGCGUGAAAUGAUUUCUCUACCUUUUCUUUGUCUUGGAGCCUCCUAUUUAUAGACUUUCCAAGCCUUGACUACGGAUGGAUUUGGCCUUGAUUGUGGGCUUGAUUAAUUGAUGAAAAAACCAAGACUUGAUUUGUGAGCUGGUUCGUGAUUUGACUCCAUCAAUUAACAUUUGAUUUAAUUUAAUUAAAAUCAAAUAAUUCUUUUCCGCCAAGUGUUGACAUGUGUCAUUCUUGAUUACUCGUCCGAUUUUGUUGAGUCGCACGUCAUGUAUACAAUUUGUGCGACAUGUGACACAUGCCACGUAUGCCCUGGCACGUCAAAACUUUAAUGCAUUAGUGAACAUUUCAUUCACCGAAAUUUCGAUGUCUACAUACACUUUGAAGAAAAACUUUUCAGGACUUCUAAAAAGUCUAUAAUAAUUUUGUGGUAUUCAAUUAUGAUUUCUUGUAAGUCUAAAAAAUUUCACAUGUUUUAAAAGAUUUAAAAAACUCGUGGAUUUUGAGUGCUUUAAUAGUAACCUUUUGUCAUAGCAAAUCUAACAUAUCGCCUUAAGAUUUUGAUGGAUUUCAUUUCUAAUGAGAUUUUCUACCAUUCACGAUUAUGUAACGACUAUCGUUAUCACCACAUUCCACCACCAUGUCGUCACCCCAACACCACCACCCUCAUCUCCUCCACCACCCCAACACCACCCCGCCAUCACAAUCACCACUCCUACUAUUAUCGCUACCACAUAGACAACAACUUUACUAACCAUCUUCCAAACAAUCAUCACGUGUUAUUCCACCAUCAUCGCUGCAACCACCACCUCAGAAGACUACUAUAUUAUGGUCACGAUCACUAUUUCAUUAAUGAAACUCAUCUAUAAUAAGGCUCAUUUAAAUUGGUCAGUAAAAAGUUCAUGACAAUCCACAAAAUUUAAAAAAAAAAAAUUCUAUGAACUCUCUAAAAUUAGGCAAAACUCUGUCAUUUAACUCCUUUAUUUUCCAAAAAUAUAUGAUUAAAACUCUAUAAAAUUUUGGAGAGUUUGUAGUCAAUAAAAAUAUACUAAAUUUGUAAAACUUAUUACUUUAAAAACUCAACAAAAAUCCAAAUGAAUAUUAAUACACUAAAAUCUUGUUAGCCCAUUCCUUUGUUUUUUUUUUAACAUACGAUAUUAUCUACACUAAGGGAAGGUGGGUAGGUUUAAUUUCACAAUGGACUAGUAAUAAUGUGAUUCAACUUCGACUUUGGCAAGAAUCAAACCUAAGAAUACUCACUUAUAAGUGGAGAUGAAUACCACUAUACUGUAGUAUUAAGUAACUCAUUCCUCUUUUUAAUCCAACUACUGUCAUUUGGAGUGCAUUAUGUGGUCCAAUUUUUGUUUUAUUUUUAAUUUUUGUUACAAGCACGGAAACAUUAAGGAAAGAAGGUUUGAACUCAUAACCUAAUGAGUUUGAAAUGCCCUAUGUACCAGUUCAAUUCACCACUUACCUAUAUGAACCAAAUUAAGAACUUCAUAUAGUUUUCUCUUUCUGAAAUUUCAACUUUUUAAUCCUCUUAAAAAGCUUUUUAUAUUAAUUUAUAUCUAUGGAGAAAAUCUGCCCCGAAUUAAUUUUAUUGUCAUGUGUUGUCAGUCUUGCCUUCAGUCAAGAAAAUAGUGCCCUGCUUUCCAACGGAGGUAGAAAUUAUGGCACUAGGACACAACAAAAUUAUCAAAAAUUGUACCUUUCAUUUAUAGUUCUACAUAGGUGUUUGCCUUUCUUCUCAUCAUAUGUUUGGGUUCCGCACCGAGAGGAAGAAAUUCAAACCGUUGGUGUCAUAGUCACCUAUUGACCCCACCCUCCCUCCGGUGCUGCUGCUUUCUUUCUUUCUUAUCUUCAAGAACCUGUUAUCCUUUAUUUUGGAAUCUAUUUUUAGCUAGGCGAUGCUAUUAUGUUGCUCCGUCUUUGUAGAACAUGGUUAAUUUUGUGUUCUCAUUUGCCCUUAUGGACACAUUGAUACAUCACACUAAUUACGUCACAAACAUAUCACAUCACUAAUUAAUGUGAAUCACUGAAUAUAAAGAACAAAAUAUAACCUUCAAAACAAGAACUCAUAGCCCUAAAGAAAAACCCUUCCCGCGUUCCCGUCUUUGGCCUUGUAGUCGGCAGUAAUCUUUCUUGAUCUCUUACUUCUUUUUCUCUCUCCAAUUUCAUUCGAGCAGAGUCUUUCUGGUUGUAAUCGCUCUCUCGCUUUGUCGAUGAGAAUUUCAUGAUUGUGGUCGUAAUCAUGACUUUGAAAUGUGUGACCUCUUGAAUUGCUUUAAGGAUCACAUUUUUUAUAUGUGUUCUUGAUUAUAUUCUUAAUGAAAUUUCUUUUGAUAAAAAAAAAUGUGAAUCGCGAAAUAAAUUUUCAUCAUUUACGAACUGUCACUUUUUAUAAAUUAAUUUGAGACCAGGAAGAAUCUGGCGUAAUUAUUUUUGAUAAGCAAUGCAAGUUGGUACAUUUAUAUUUGCAUCCAGGAUUAUGAUUCACACACCCAUUUAUGUUCAUAUACAACAGUAAAAAAAAUAAAUUUUCAUUUUAUACAAAACACCUAUCUAACCUUCAAAACAUUUAAGGGUAAAUGCAUUUUGCAUCCUCAAGUUUGAGUGCAAUUGCAAUCUCAUAUAUCAUCUUUAUAAUUCAUACACAAAAUUAUAAUUAUGUAGCAAUGUCUUACAUCCGUUAUUCAUUAUGUUUUUUGAACUGUUAAAUUAUGACUUGGCUAUAAUAAACUUAUAUUUAUGAUGAUGUGCCAUAGAAGACUUGAAAUAGGGAAUUUCAUGCCCAUAUUCAGGUACCAGGGUUGGACUCUGGUACAUGGCGCUCUGGGUAAGACGAUUCUGGUAGUGGUGCCAAGAUGUUAGCACUAGCUUCUCCUUGAAUUUUGCUUCUGCUCAAAAUAUCUUGGCGGUGGCGAGUUGCCUGAUAAUUGGAGGCUCAGAGAAGGUGUUAUAUUUGGUGGCUAGAACUGGCUUUGCACUGGAAGAUGCCAGAAGAAAAUCAGAGGUACCCGUUCGAAUAUUCACGUUGCUAGCGCUUCUUACAAAAGCCUGUCAUCAUCAAAAAAUAGGCAACAACAACAACAACAACAACAACAAAGCCUUUUCCCACUAAGUGGGGUCGGCUAUAUGAAUCCUAGAACGCCAUUGCGCUCGGUUUUGUGUCAUGUCCUCCGUUAGAUCCAAGUAAUCAAGUCUUUUCUUAGGGUCUCUUCCAAAGUUUUCCUAGGUCUUCCUCUACCCCUUCGGCCCUGAACUUCUGUCCCGUAGUCACAUUUUCGAACCGGAGCGUCAGUAGGCCUUCUUUGCACAUGUCCAAACCACCGGAACCGAUUUUCUCUCAUAUUUCCUUCAAUUUUGGCUACUCCUACUAUACCUUGGAUAUCCUCAUUCCCAAUCUUAUCCUUUCUCGUGUGCCCAUACAUCCCACGAAGCAUCCUCAUCUCCGCUACACCCAUUUUGUGUACGUGUUGAUGCUUCACCGCCCAACAUUCUGUGCCAUACAACAUCGUUGGCCUUAUUGCCGUCCUAUAAAAUUUUCCCUUGAGCUUUAGUGGCCUACGACGAUCACACAACACGCCGGAUACACUCUUUUGAUAAAAAAAAAUGUGAAUCGCGAAAUAAAUUUUCAUCAUUUACGAACUGUCACUUUUUAUAAAUUAAUUUGAGACCAGGAAGAAUCUGGCGUAAUUAUUUUUGAUAAGCAAUGCAAGUUGGUACAUUUAUAUUUGCAUCCAGGAUUAUGAUUCACACACCCAUUUAUGUUCAUAUACAACAGUAAAAAAAAUAAAUUUUCAUUUUAUACAAAACACCUAUCUAACCUUCAAAACAUUUAAGGGUAAAUGCAUUUUGCAUCCUCAAGUUUGAGUGCAAUUGCAAUCUCAUAUAUCAUCUUUAUAAUUCAUACACAAAAUUAUAAUUAUGUAGCAAUGUCUUACAUCCGUUAUUCAUUAUGUUUUUUGAACUGUUAAAUUAUGACUUGGCUAUAAUAAACUUAUAUUUAUGAUGAUGUGCCAUAGAAGACUUGAAAUAGGGAAUUUCAUGCCCAUAUUCAGGUACCAGGGUUGGACUCUGGUACAUGGCGCUCUGGGUAAGACGAUUCUGGUAGUGGUGCCAAGAUGUUAGCACUAGCUUCUCCUUGAAUUUUGCUUCUGCUCAAAAUAUCUUGGCGGUGGCGAGUUGCCUGAUAAUUGGAGGCUCAGAGAAGGUGUUAUAUUUGGUGGCUAGAACUGGCUUUGCACUGGAAGAUGCCAGAAGAAAAUCAGAGGUACCCGUUCGAAUAUUCACGUUGCUAGCGCUUCUUUUACAAAAGCCCUGUCAUCAUCAAAAAAAUAGGCAACAACAACAACAACAACAACAACAAAGCCUUUUCCCACUAAGUGGGGUCGGCUAUAUGAAUCCUAGAACGCCAUUGCGCUCGGUUUUGUGUCAUGUCCUCCGUUAGAUCCAAGUAAUCAAGUCUUUUCUUAGGGUCUCUUCCAAAGUUUUCCUAGGUCUUCCUCUACCCCUUCGGCCCUGAAACUUCUGUCCCGUAGUCACAUUUUCGAACCGGAGCGUCAGUAGGCCUUCUUUGCACAUGUCCAAACCACCGGAACCGAUUUUCUCUCAUAUUUCCUUCAAUUUUUGGCUACUCCUACUUUACCUUGGAUAUCCUCAUUCCCAAUCUUAUCCUUUUCUCGUGUGCCCAUACAUCCCACGAAGCAUCCUCAUCUCCGCUACAAGCCCAUUUUGUGUACGUGUUGAUGCUUCACCGCCCAACAUUCUGUGCCAUACAACAUCGUUGGCUUUUGCCUUAUGCCGUCCUAUAAAAUAAUUUUUUCCCUUGAGCUUUAGUGGCCUACGACGAUCACACAACACGCCGGAUAUACACUCUUACACUUCAUCCAUCCCAGCUUGUAUUCUAUGGUUGAGAUCUCCAUCUAAUUCUCCGUUCUCUUACAAGAUAGAUCCUAGGUAGCGAAAACGGUCACUUUUUGUGAUCUUCGCCAUAUUGCUCCGGUCAUUAGUGUGGAUAAGUAUAUAAAUGGAUAGAGAGAUAGGAAAGCAAACACAAGAUGUACGUGGUUCACCCAGAUUGGCUACGUCCACGGAAUAGAGGAGUUCUCAUUAAUUGUGAAAGGUUUACACAAGUACAUAGGUUCAAGCUCUCCUUUAGGGAGUACAAGUGAAUGAUUUAGUACAAAUGACAUUAGGAAAUAUUGUGGGAGAAUGAUCUCGUAACCACGAAACUUCUAAGUACCGGAGUGUGGUAUCGUCUUGACUUUCCUUAUCUGUCUCAUAGGUAGAUGUGGAAUCUUCUCUGGAAGUACUCUUCCUCCAUCCAGGGGUGGUAUCUGUAACUGGUGGAGAUGCACAAGGUAAUGUAUCAAUGUCACUUGAAGCUUACUUGUAGUUUCAGGCUUGGUCAAGCGCGAUACAAACCAUGUAGUAGGAGUCCCCCAAGUCGCCGAGCUAGGAGAUCUGCUGAAAGAGGUAACAGACAAGGUAAGCAAUCAGAGCUCCGGCUGAUUGUUCACAUUCUCCCUAUCUUGCAGGCAGCAUGAAGGAUAAAGAGAAGAAAAAUGAGAAGAGAUGAUAUGGGAUACUUUUGCUUUUGAAGAAGUAACUUUCCACAGGCUUAUUCUUGAACUGGGCUGGAGGGUUUUCUGGUUUCCUCCAAAGUAUAAGGCCGACUGAAGAAUUUGAGGGUCAAAACAAGUCCAUCAAAUCUAGAGUACGUUCGACCCUGCUGAUAUGGGAUACUUUUUCUUUUGACAGAGUAGUGGAUGUAUCGGCACGUGUGCUGUUACGCUUGUCUCCACAUGCUUCCUUGUAUCCUUCUCACUUGCUCUAUCUGUUCCUCAGGCAGAUGCGGUAUCUUCCCUGGAAGCAUAAGAUGUUGAAGAUGAGUACUCGAGAGCAAUGCCAGGGUAGGGGGUUCCAGGCAGUCAGUUCCUGGCUGGAAGCUUGAUUCCAAGUGCUGACGAAUUGCUCUCUUCUCUUGUCUUGCAGGUAAGAACAAGGCCAAAGGAAAAGACAGGGAAAAAGCAUGAUAUGGGAUACUCUUGCUUUUAACCCUGAUGAUAUGAGAUAUUCUUGCUCUAGUAUAGCUUGUUUACAGAGGUAUUAUCGGGGGGAAAGAAAGCUGAAUAUUUCGAAAGGCUUCGUUGGGAGUGCCCUCUCAGAUAAGAGGAAUGGUUGAGCAUUUUUGCAGGUCUGCCUGUCCGUUGGGGAUGGAGGUCGACAUAUAUAGGAGUCUCCCUAACAUCAAGUAAUAAUGCUAUUCCUUUACCCUGCUUGGUCAUAGCACGGUAGUGGGAGCUGCCAGCUUCACAAGUUUUAACUCUGUCAGAGCACUUUGAAAAAAGUGGUCUGUGGUAUCUGGAAAAUGCUGAUGAAGAUUACAGACAAGCUUUAUCCAAGGAGAUCCGGCUCUUGAAGUUGGGAAAGUGGUGCCUCUUUCGGUUUUCGAACAAGCAAUCAUGUCGGGAUCUGGCUCUCGAGAUUCGGAGAACGAUGCCUCUUCGAUUUUUGAGAAAGCAAUCAUGCUGGGGGUGUGGCUCUCGAGAUUCGGAGAGCGGUGUCUUCGAUUUUUUUGAGUAAUCAUGUUGGGAGUCUGGCUCUCGAGAUUCGGAGGGCGGUGCCUCUUCGAUUUUGGAGCAAGCAAUCUUGUUGGGAGUGUUUCUCGAAUAUGAGUAAAGGUUGGGCAUGUUUGCUAGUCUACCUUGCCACGAAGCACAGAGGUUGACACACAGGGACUAAUCCAGUGGUACUGUUCCUGGCUCUCGAGAUUCGGAGGGCGGUGGAAAGUAAUUCGGAUUUUGGAGCAAGCAUCUUGUUGGGAGGUGUUUUCUCGAAUGUGAGUAAAGGUUGGGCAUGUUUGCUAGUCUACCUUGCCAUGAAGCACAGAGGUUGACACACCGAGACUUUCUAAUUAUCCAGCAGUGGUACUGUUCCUUUACCCUUGUGGGUAAUAAUAUGGUAGCUAGGCCUUCAAAAUUUAUGUGUCUAAACUUUGUUAGUGUUGUUUCUUUGCUAUUCUUUUACCCUUCUUGGUCAGAGCGAUGUAGUGAGAGUUGCAAGCUUCACGUGUCUCGACUUUGUCAGAGAGAACUUUGGCAAAGUUAUAUGUGGUACCCAUGAGCUACUGUUGCGUGUGGGAAGUGGGUGAUUGAACAGUACGAUUCAUGUGCUUUCUACUUCGCCAGAAAUCUUCGACAGAAUGCCCAUAAUUUCCGCAAAGCUGAGUGUGCGUGUGACAGGUGCUGACAAGGCUGGAAAAGUAGUCUCAACUUUGUCAGAGAACUUUGGCAAAGUUAUAUGUGGUACCCAUGAGCUACGUGUGCGUGUGGGAAGUGGAUGAUUGAACAGUACGAUUCAUGUGCUUUCUACUUCGCCAGAAAUCUUCGACAGAAUGCCCAUAAUUUCCGCAAAGCUGAGUGUGCGUGUGACAGGUGCUGACAAGGCUGGAAAAGUAGUCUCAACUUUGUCAGAGAACUUUGGCAAAGUUAUAUGUGGUACCCAUGAGCUACUGUUGCGUGUGGGAAGUGGAUGAUUGAACAGUACGAUUCAUGUGCUUUCUACUACUCGCCAGAAAUCUUCGACAGAAUGCCCAUAAUUUCCGCAAAGCUGAAUGUGCGUGUGACAGGUGCUGACAAGGCUGGAAAAGUUGGUGCCUCUUCGAUUUCUGAGAUCGGCCCUCGUGGUCUCUGAGCAGCCCAGCUUUUGAGAAAGCAAACCUCUUCGAUUUCUGAGAUCGGCCCUCGUGGUCUCUGGGCAGCCCAGCUUUUGAGAAAGCAAACCUCUUCGAUUUCUGAGAUCGACCUUCGUGGUCUUUGAGCAGCCCAGCUUUUGAGAAAGCAAACGCCUCUUCGAUUUCUGAGAUCGACCCUCGUGGUCUCUGAGCAGCCCAGCUUUUGAGAAAGCAAACGCCUCUUCGAUUUCUGAAGCUUCGUCGAGUGCAGAUUUUUAUAGAGGCUGACAUUAAGUUCCAAAGCACACUUGAAUAUCCACCAGUAGAAGCUCCAUUCUUGCACUUCUAAGAUCUUGAUUUGUCCGACCUCUUCUCUCUUCUACACCUUUGAAAAUGUCUGGCCCCUCCGACCGUCGUCGUUUUGACUUGAACCUUGUUGAAGAGGCAGCCCCGCCUUCUCCAGACAACAUAUGGCGCCCAUCCUUCGUCUCCCCUACUGGUCCUCUCUUACCGUUGGGGAUUCCGUGAUGAAGAAUGAUAUGACCGCUGCGGUAGUGGCCAGGAACCUUCUCACUCCCAAAGAUAAACAGACUACUUUCCAAACGGUCUGAUGAGUUGGCUGUUAAGGAUUUCUCUGGCUCUUAGUGUUCAGUGUGCAGGUUCUGUGUCUAAUAUGGCCCAACGCCUAUUUGCUCGAAACCCGCCAAGUUGAAUCAUUGGCGGCUGAAGUGAUGAGUCUCAAACAGGAUAUUAGAGGGCUCAAGCAUGAGAAUAAACAGUUGCACCGGCUCGCACAUGACUAUGCUACAAACAUGAAGAGGAAGCUUGACCAGAUGAAGGAAUCUGAUGGUCAGGUUUUACUUGAUCAUCAAAGAUUUGUGGGUUUGUUCCAAAGGCAUUUAUUGCCUUCGUCUUCUGGGGCUGUGCCGCGUAAUGAAGCUCCAAAUGAUCAACCUCUGAUGCCUCCUCCUUCUAGGGUUCUGUCCAGUACUGAGGCUCCGAAUGAUCCCCCUCCGGUGCCUUCUCUUUCUGGGGCUCUACCGACUGCCGAGACUUCUCCUAAGCAACCUUUGUGAAGGCUCCCUCUUGUUUGUUUAUUUUGACUUAAGUAUAUGUACAUAUUUUGUAAUUUUAUCGGGGAUAUCAAUAAAUAAGCUUUCCUUCAUUUCAACGUAUUGUGUUAAAUCACCAAAGCCUUCUUCGCUAAGUUCUUUGAAUUUUCUUUUGUUGAAGCUUGUAUGUUGGAGCUUUGUGAGUGGAGCAUGUAGGUUGAGGUAGUGUUCCCUUAAUUUUCCCGAGCGAGGACAACUUCUCGGUUGGAGACUUGGAAAAUCCAAGUCACUGAGUGGGAUCGGCUAUAUGAAUCUUAGAACGCCAUUGUGUUCUGUCCUGUGUCAUGUCCUCCGUUAGAUCCAAGUACUCUAAGUCUUUUCUUAGGGUCUCUCUCAAAGUUUUCCUGGGUCUUCCUCUACCCCUUCGGCCCUGAACCUCUGUCCCAUAGUCGCAUCUUCUAAUCGGAGCGUCAGUAGGCCUUCUUUGCACAUGUCCAAACCACCGUAACCGAUUUUCUCUCAUCUUUCCUUCAAUUUCGGCUACUCCUAUUUUACCCCGAAUAUCCUCAUUCCUAAUCUUAUCCUUUCUCGUGUGCCCACACAUCCAACGAAGCAUCCUCAUUUGGCAUCUUCUUCGUUUUCAAAAUCCUAUUGAAAAGGUCAGUGAGCCAUGUUAUACCUGUCUCUCCCAAAACUUUCCACACUUCGAUUGGUAUAUCGUCUGGGCCUACUGCUUUUCUAUGCUUCAUCUUCUUCAAAGCUACAACCACUUCUUCCUUCCGGAUUCUACGAUAAAAAGAGUAGUUUCUACACUCUUCUGAGUUACUCAACUCCCCUAAAGAAGCACUCCUUUCAUGUCCUUCAUUGAAAAGAUUAUGAAAAUAACCUUUCCAUCUGUCUUUAACCGCGUUCUCUGUAGCAAGAACCUUUCCAUCCUCAUCCUUGAUGCACCUCACUUGGUUUAGGUCUCUUGUCUUCUUUUCCCUUGCUCUAGCUAGUUUAUAGACAUCCAACUCUCCUUCUUUGGUAUCUAGUCGUUUAUACAUAUCGUCAUAAGCCGCUAACUUAGCUUCUCUCACAGCUUUCUUCGCCUCUUGCUUCGCUUUUCUAUACCUUUCACCAUUUUCAUCGGUCCUAUCCUUGUAUAAGGCUUUACAACAUUCCUUCUUAGCCUUCACCUUUGUUUGUACCUCCUCAUUCCACCACCAAGAUUCCUUUUGGUGUGGGGCAAAGCCCUUGGACUCUCCUAAUACCUCUUUUGCUACUUUUCGGAUACAACUAGCCAUGGAAUCCCACAUUUGGUUAGCUUCCCCCUCUCUAUCCCACACACACUGGGUGAUUAUUUUCUCUUUGAAAAUGGCUUGUUUUUCUUCUUUUUAGAUUCCACCAUCUAGUCCUUGGGCACUUCCAAGUCUUGUUCUUUUUUCUCACUCUUUUGAUAUGUACAUCCAUCACCAACAAGCGAUGUUGAUUAGCCACGCUCUCUCCUGGUAUAACUUUGCAAAUCCUUACAAGUUAUACGAUCCCUUUUCCUCAUUAGAAGAAAAUCUAUUUGUGUUUUUGACGACCCACUCUUGUAGGUGAUCACAUGUUCUUUCCCGCUUCUUAAAGAAGGUGUUGGCUAAGAAGAGAUCAUAUGCCAUUGCAAAAUCCAAGAUAGCUUCCCCAUCCUCGUUUCUCUCCCCAAAACCAUGGCCACCAUGAAAACCUCCAUAGUUGCCUGUCUCCCUGCCCACGUGUCCAUUUAAAUCUCCUCCUAUAAAAUAACUUCUCCGUCUGAGCAAUUCCUUGCACCAAGUCUCCAAGGUCUUCCCAAAAUUUCUCCUUCGAACUCGUAUCCAACCCUACUUGAGGUGCAUACGCACUAAUCACAUUGAUAAGUUCUUGUCCUAUUACAAUCUUGAUUGCCAUGAUUCUAUCUCCUACCCUCUUGACAUCUACAACAUCUUGUGUCAAGGUCUUGUCCACGAUGAUGCCAACACCGUUUCUCGUUCUAUUUUGUGCCCGAAUACCAUAGUUUAAACCCUGAGUUUUCUAGAUCCUUUGCCUUACGCCCAACCCACUUAGUUUCUUGUAGGCACAUAAUAUUUAUCCUUCUCCUCACCAUAACUUCUACUACUACUCCAUAGAUUUUUCCCGUCAAGGUUCCUAUAUUCCACGUUCCUAAACGCAUUUUGCUCUCUUGAACUCUACCCUUCUGUCCUAGCUUCUUCACCCUUCCCCGUCUAAUAGGAUCAAAGUACUUCUUUUGUGUGUCCCGUGUAAAGUUGAUAGGAGCAUAUGCUCCCAAACAACUUUGAGUGGAGUCGUUCGAAAAGAAGUUUCUAUAGCCCCCUUGCUCAUUUAACACUGCAUCUGGGUGCCGAUGGAGAUACAGCGACCCUUGCUCACUUAUCACUGUGCUCGGGCCACACAGCGCGCCACUUACGGGUGACGCCCUAGCUUUAGCGCGAUUUCGUUCUGGAUUCAUUUUCAUAAGGAUUCGACGUGAUCAUGGAGUGCCGGCUGUCGACUACCUGACGCCCUCCCCCUCCUCCUUUAUCCGGGCUUGGGACCGGCAAUGUAAGAUAAACUUACACGGCGGAGUUCAUCAAAAAAUAGGCAUUUUAACAAAAUGUUCAUUAAGAUUGACAUAACUUCUCACUUUGAUCCUUGACAAUAAAAAUCGAUAGAAGUGGUCCAUGAGUUUGGUUUGACAAAAAUACCUUAAAAUGUGGUCAUAUGGUCGUUCAUAUGACAAUUUAACAAGAAUAUUAACAGAUUUUUCACGAAAUAACUAAAAUAAUUUAGGGUGAACAAAUUCAUGGACUACUCGUAUCGAUUUUCAUUAUCAGUUACCAACAUGAGGAGUUAUACCAAUCCUAAAAACUAUUGUGGCUAAAAAGUCACGGAAAUUAUUCACGUGCCUCUUAAAACAUAACGAUCCUAGAAGUGUCGUUUUUCUAUAGAGCUGGGCCACACUUAUCUGCUAAAUUCCGAGAUGAACAUGGUUAUAAAUAGAGGCACUGGGCAGCAAUGAACUGCACGGAACAGCCCACUAGCCCUUGUUCAUAAGCCAUCCUUCUGUGUUCUUCCUUCAGCUUUUUUCCCCAGAGCUAAGCUAGUAAGCCAUUUUCCAUCAACCAUGCUAGGCAUAGCACAAAAUGUGGUGAGCAAGGUGACCUCGGCGGUCGCCACCACUGCUCAGCACAUUGAGGGUGAGCUCAGCCUCUUCACUAUGUCCGACACCAAAAUAUUAGAGCUCAUUUAUGCAACCCACGUCCAUGAGGACGACUCCUUUGAUGUUGAUUCUCUCUUCCUUGUCACUGAAACCAUCAUCAAGCAUUCGACCCAGAUCGUUGAUAGCAUUGUGCAGGUAUGAGAUUGUGUAACAUCUCUAUGUUCUUCCGCGAAUUAAAAGAGAAAUGUUAACUAUAGUCGCUUAAACGCUUAAUGAACGAGGUAGCGCUUGCUUAAGAAGCUCAGAAUAGUCUGUGUGUUUAUAUUGGGAAGACUGUUAGUUAGAGUGAAACGUAAACUAGGGUCUGUUAACUUCAAUUUCCUACCUGACAAUAACUAGUAUAGCUCUUAAUUGCGAUGGCUGUGCUAGAUUCCCUUGCAUUUAUUAAAAAUAAUACUAUGGCACUUGAUAUUUCAGUUGGUUUUGUCCUGAAAAUUGGAAGAGAUGAAGUGGGUAAGUGACGUUUCGUUUGAGUACUUGACAUAUAGAUCCAACGAUUAAGUAGUCGUUUUCAGUCCGAUCUGAGGCAGCAAAUUAACCUAAAGGGGCCCUGGUUCCCAACACUAACGAUUUGCAAUUUGAUAGCUUUUUUGGGGGCAUGCUCGAAAAAUACAAAAAUUCUAUUGAAAAUAGAAUAGUUAUGGAUUUUUAACCAUUAGGUCUUAGUUUUUGUCCAAAUAUCUUACAGUUAAAAAUUUAGAAUAUCGGAUACUCCGAAGCAGCAUAGAAGAUCCCCUAAAAGCAUUGUCGAAUCGGGAGUUAUUGCACUAAACCAAAAGAAGGAAAUAAUUAACUUGAUCUAGAGUCAUAGUUCUAAAAUAUGUUACUGCAAAAUAUGUAGAAGGAAAGUACCAUUCAAUACCUAUGGCAUGUUUUAUUAGCACCUCACGUUUUGUUCAAAUUAUUAGAACAUUGGAUUUCUGCAUCAUUAAAAAAAAUUUGAAAACUAUUUUAUGUCUAACUUUUUAUUAGAAAAUAUUCCUUUUCCGUUAAUGAAAUAUAGAGAAUUUUUUGUAAUAAUUUUAUCAGAACACUUUUCUUAUAAUUAAACUUAACUUUUUACCUUGGGAAAAAAUUAAUUUGGGACUGCUCUUAGAAAUUGAUUUUCUUAAUGAAAUGUAGAGACUGCUCUUAGAAAUUUGUUUUAGAUAAAAACAUGGUAAAUGUUCCACCUCAUAACUUCAAACGAGCUAUUUUUUUCCAAAACAAAAUGAGUUUAGAGCCUUUUAGUACAUUAAGGUAAACGAUUACAAGAUUUACAGUACUACGAACACAGAGGUUGGUAUGUUCCAUUUUUAAGAUACCCAGUCUACCACAAAAGUACUCAUCACAGUAGACAUUAUUGAGCUGGACAAGUUGUUUCACCUUGAUGUUUUCUUUUGAUUUAUCUUCUUUGGCACCUUUUUCUCCUUAGGUUACAAUACAGCUCUUGAACGCUGACUUCUGGACGUUUCCUUCUCCUAUUGAUACUGAUAAUGUUGUUGCCUCUGGACCUCUUUAAUUUUGUAUUUAACAGAAGAGCCACAUACAAUUCUCUGUUGGUAAAUCGGACACGUAUAAAUUAAAAGCUUGAAAAUGAUUUUAUUAAUAAUAAUCUUCACUAAAAUUAGAAGUUUUAAAGAUUUGGAAUCCAAAUCAUUAUCAAAAAGUAAAAAACCAAAUGUAUAAUAUUACUUCUUUCUCCAACAAUAUCUGGUUUCUUUUUUGGGACUAAUCCAACAAUAUCUGAUUAAUGAAGUGAUUAGAAGUAAGAAAUAUCUUGCAAUUAUAUUACUGAGCUGAGUUUAAUUUUAAGUAUCAGCAAACUUCCAAAUGGUGAAUAAUUACUAGUGACUUGUUGCAGGGCACCCAAGUACAUGUUGAAACCAUUGAUGAGAAGCCCCCCAAAGCCACCUUCAGUUCUCCAUUGUGCACUCUCAAGUCCAUUGGCUGUGAGGUCAUUAUUUACAAUAUUGCAUAACAAAUUGAAUAAUUCUUAAUUUUCCUUUCAUUUUUCCAAAAAAAAAAAACAAUUCUUAUAGUUCCUAUAAAAAAAAUCACGGGUUUAAUUAUCUUCAAUUUCUUUCAGAUGUCAUGCAAGCCACCAGGUGAAGAAAUUGCCCACAAGUCAACCUUGGCAAUACUCAACAAGCUCUCAACUUAUUCAUGGGAAGCCAAGGCAGUGCUGGCCUUUGCAGCAUUUGCUUUGGAAUAUGGAGAGUUCUGGCUCCUUGCCCAAACUCAACAGAGUGACCUACUUGCUAAGUCCGUCGCAAUCCUCAAGAGAGUGCCAGUCCUUCUCAAGCCCACGGACCUCCAGAAGCGCAGGCAAGCUAUUGUCGAACUCAACGUCCUGAUCAAGACCACAUUGCAAGUGAUUGAGUGCAUCUUUGAGCUUGAGAAGCUUUCUGCUUAUGAUCCAAAGGAUGUGCCAGCAUUGGCAAUUGCAAUGGAUCACAUACCGGUCGAUGUCUAUUGGUCUAUCAUAACUAUUUUUUCUUGUGCAACUAAGAUCACCCUUCUAACCAGUGAUGAGUAAGUUCUUUAUUUCCAAACCAAUUACCCUGUAUAAGUAUAUAUUUAUGAUCAUUACAAUUUUAAAACAAGUAAUAUUUAUCUGACUUGGUUUCCUGCGUUGUAGAGAGAAGCCAUAUGAUUUGUCCCAAUUUGCUCAAAAAAUCCACUACAUCCUCAACAAGCUUAAGAUACAAUUGUUAAUCUGCAAAAAACAGAUAGGUGAGUACUUGACUACUUGUACUGUUGUACACAUACAUGUUACACUUGAUAUGCAUUGCUGAAAACUAAGUGUUUUCUGUGUAAAACAGAGGAGGCGGAGACGUACCGGAAGCUGAGGAAACUUUUUCAGACCCCUGCCGAAGUUAUGGAGGUUUUCAAGGCCUUGAUUUUCACUAAGGAUACCGUGCAGCCAAUUAUUGAUGGUUCGACUAACAAAACGGUUUGCUCUCAUAGCACGUUACUACUCUUUGAUAAAUUUUACUAUUACCGUUUGUAGUGUAUGUAGCUAAUUAAUGUAAUCAUUGUCAUAAAUUUUUCAAACAGGUUAGCAUUGAUGUGCUGAGGAGGAAGUAUGUGCUUUUGUUCAUUUCCACCCUUGACAUUUCUGAUGAUGACAUUUCGAUUGUCAAACCAGUUUAUGAGGGGACAAAGAAAGACGAUAAGUAUAAGAUUGUGUGGAUCCCUAUUGUGGAGCAAUGGACUGAUGACCUACGAAAGAAGUUCGAGGUCUUGAGGGCCAAGAUGCCAUGGUACACUGUGCAGUAUUUUGCGCCUGUAGCCGGCGUCAGAUUCAUCAAGGAGGAGUGGCACUUCAAGGGCAAGCCCGCUGUGGUAGUGAUGAACCCGCAAGGCAAGGUGGAAAAUACGAAUGCUCUCCACUUGAUUCGGAUUCAUGGAAUGAAGGCAUUUCCUUUUCAUAAGGGAAUAGAAGAUACUCUCACAAAUGACAAAGAAUGGAUCACUCCCAUUGUGAAUGAUAUUCACCCAACCAUACAGACCUGGGUAAUUAAUUCAAUUCAUUUUUCACAAUUCCACAGCAUUACAGCACCAAUUUUAAUUCAAAUUUGUGGGUAUAAUUUUUAUUUCUUUGUUCGAGCAGAUCAAAGAGGAGAAGUACAUCUUCUUCUAUGGAGGCAAAGACAAUGACUGGAUCCAGCAGUUCACAAAGAAAGCAACUACCAUUGCCAAUGACCCCUUCAUCAAGGAAUUGAAGAUCAAUAUUGAGCUAUUUUGUGUUGGCAAGAGCCCGAAAGGCGGAGAAGACCUUGGAAUUCUCGGGAGAUUUUGGAAUGGAAUUGAGAGCUUGUUCUUCACCAAAGUCAACAAGCAAACUGACACUGUGACCAAAGAAGUCCAGAAGCUGCUUUCCUACAAAAAUGAGGGUGGAUGGGCUGUGCUUACUAAGGGGUCCACUGUGGUGGUGAGUGGCCAUGGCUUCACAAUCUUGAAGGUCCUUGACGACUUCGACACAUGGAAGAACUUCAUAAAGGAGAAGGGCUUUGAAUUCUCGUUCAAAGCAUACUACGAGAAGGUGAUUCAGACUAUGAGGCACUGCUGCCGCCUUGACAUCCCGAGCGUUGCUGGAAAGGUCCCGGAGACCAUGAAAUGCCCAGAGUGUCCUCGCACCAUGGAGACAUUCGUGAGCUACAAGUGCUGCCACACUGAUUCUCCCAUCAACGCGCAUCAUUGAAGGGUUUGCUGUUUUGAGUCUACGAGGUCAUCUUAUGACUAUACUACGAGGUUAUGAACUUAUGCGUUGUGUUUGUGUGGUUCGUAGUGUCGUCCUUGGGACUUGAAUAAUGGGCAUUUUCAUUAUUAUGUAAUCUGAUGAUGCCUACCAAUCUGAGUGGUGAGUGUUGUGUGAUGUGUAAGUGUGUCUUACAAUGCAAUUUUAUGUUUUAAGUUUAAUGUUUUCGUAGCACUUUUCGCCCUCGAUCUCAUGGAUAUUUCUUUGAAUUUAUUACAUUGACAUGAUCAAUUGACCUGGUAAA